GGAGGAAUAAACCCUCCUUCUGAGAUGGUUUUUACCCAUUCAGAUCCUCUACGCAGUCCAUAUUACAAUAUUGAGCUGAAGGGGAUACAUGUCGCUGGGAAGGCACUGAAUCUUAAUCCACAGAUUUUCGAUGGAAAACAUGGGACUGUGCUUGAUAGUGGUACCACAUACGUUUACCUUCCAGAAGCUGCAUUUGUGGCCUUCAAGAGUGCUGUAUGUUAUCUAAAUUACAUGCUAUUACAUCUAUCAUUUUCAUGAUGCACUCUGCCAGAGACAAGUAGUGGUGAAAUAUUGCAUGCUUGUGGCUAGAAGAAUGGGGUGAAGAAAUCAAAUCUGUGAAAGCUGAGUUUCAUUUGU
rnacentral:misc_RNA from 1 species